rnacentral:tRNA from 1 species
CGGGUAUAGCAUAGUGGUAAUGCGGCAGCCUUCCAAGCUGUUGAGCUCGGUUCGAUUCCGUGUACC